UACAGAGACUCCAAGCGUUAUUCGGAUUCACUGGGCGUAAAGGGUGCGCAGGCGGUCAGGUGUGUCUAGGGUGAAAUCCUGCAGCUUAACUGUAGAUGUGCCUUAGAAACUACCUGACUAGAGUAUCGGAGAGGCAAGCGGAAUUCCUGGUGUAGCAGUGAAAUGCGUAGAUAUCAGGAGGAACACCGAAGGCGAAGGCAGCUUGCUGGACGAUUACUGACGCUCAGGCACGAAAGCUAGGGGAGCAAACAGG
rnacentral:misc_RNA from 1 species